AGAGAAGAAAUCUGUGACUUCUUUUUACUGAAAAAAAAGAGAAAAAUGGAUGUUCGUGACGAAAUUGACAUGAACAAGCUUCAAAAUCCACCGAAAAGCAAAAAAAAAACGAAGAUGCCGAAAGAAAAAAAGGAAACGACUGGAAGAUCUAGUGAAGAGCAAAAAAUCGGA